UACGUAGGUGGCAAGCGUUAUCCGGAAUUACUGGGCGUAAAGCGUGCGCAGGCGGUGAUGUAAGACCGAUGUGAAAUCCCCGGGCUUAACCUGGGAACUGCAUUGGUGACUGCAUUGCUGGAGUAUGGCAGAGGGGGGUGGAAUUCCACGUGUAGCAGUGAAAUGCGUAGAGAUGUGGAGGAACACCGAUGGCGAAGGCAGCCCCCUGGGCCAAUACUGACGCUCAGGCACGAAAGCGUGGGGAGCAAACAGG
rnacentral:rRNA from 1 species